CUUUCCCCAAGGGUUCCGCAUUAGCCUAACCAAGACUUUCUCUGAGACUCUUAGUUAUUAUGAUGCUACUUCCACCAGCACCAGGGUUCUUGUUGCUAUCUGGCUGUUGAGUGAUUCAGUCCCACUGAGCAAUGUCAACCUGAUUGUCUUUCUUUGUUUUUAAGAAACAGGGUCUUGCUCUGCUGCCCAGGCUGGAGCACAGUAGUGUGAUCAUAGCUCACUACAGCCUUCAACUCCUGGGCCUUAGCAAUCCUCCUGCCUCAGCCUCCCAAGGAGCUAUGGCUGCAGGUAUCCGCCACCACUCAUUGACAGCCACUUCCAGUACUCACUGUCUUGGACACAGACUUGAGUAAAAGUACAGGGGCAAGAGGCCUGGAUGAAGAAAUACCCUCAGAAACUCCCACUCUUCUGGUUCCUGCUGAAGACUCCAGUAAUAAAAGUUAUUCAUACCUACCUCCACCAUCUUGGCUGGGAAGUCAAGGAAGAAGAUAGCAGCCCGCAACCCGGAAGAGGGCCCUCACCAGAACCUACCAUGCUGGCACCCAGACCUCAGACUUCCAGCCUCCAGAAAUGAGCUCCCUCUGCUGCAGGAACUCAACGAUAGGGAGGAAGAGUCCAGAAAAGUAGGGCUGUCAGCACCUCUGUGAGCAGCCGACGAUCCACAGCGGAUGGAGUUUGGUGGUAAAGGUACUCACUUCCUGUCUCUCUGGUGAUGAUUUUGAGCAUGUUCUACAAAGUCUUUCAGAUGGUCCCAGUAGGUUGGAGCCCAGCUGCCCUCAGUGGUAACCUGCCCAUUAACGUAUCCUGUGUUGGUUUCCUUUCCUCCCCUACCUCACCUCCCCACUCCCCUUUCUAUGAUUCCUAGAGUCACCUCCCAAAUAAACUUUCACAUUUACA
rnacentral:lncRNA from 1 species